rnacentral:rRNA from 1 species
AUUGAACGCUGGCGGCAGGCCUAACACAUGCAAGUCGAGCGGUUGCAGGCAUCUUGCUCCUGGCUUCAGCGGCGGACGGGAGUGUUAUGCCUAGGCAUAUGCCUGGGAGUGGGAGAUAACGUCCGAAAACGGGCUCUAAUACCGCAUACGUCCUGGGGGAGAAAGGGGGGGAUCUUCGCACCUUACGCUAUCAGAUGAUCCGAGGUCGGAUUAGCUAGUUGGUGGGGUAAAGGCCUACCAAGGCGACGAUCCGUAGCUGGUCUGAGAGGAUGAUCAGUCACACUGGAACUGAGACACGGUCCAGACUCCUACGGGAGGCAGCAGUGGGGAAUAUUGGACAAUGGGCGCAAGCCUGAUCCAGCAAUGCCGCGUGUGUGAAGAAGGCCUUCGGGUUGUAAACCGCUUUUGGCAGGAACGAAGCGGUGUCAGCUAAUACCGGGCGCUAAUGACGGUACCUGCAGAAUAAGCACCGGCUAACUACGUG